GACAGAGGGUGCAAACGUUUGUUCGGAUUUACUGGGCGUAAAGAGCGUGUAGGCGGCCAGACAGGUCCGUUGUGAAAACUCGAGGCUCAACCUCGAGACGUCGAUGGAAACCGUCUGGCUAGAGUCCGGAAGAGGAGUGUGGAAUUCCUGGUGUAGCGGUGAAAUGCGCAGAUAUCAGGAAGAACACCUAUGGCGAAGGCAGCACUCUGGGACGGUACUGACGCUGAGACGCGAAAGCGUGGGGAGCGAACAGG
rnacentral:rRNA from 1 species